UACGGCCACAUCACGUUGGAACGCUGGUUCCCUUACGAUCACCGCAGUUAAGCAACGUCGAGCCUGGUCAGUACCUAUAUGGGUGACCGCUUAAGAAUACCAGGUGCUGUAA